GGUCAAGAUAGUAAGGGCACACGGUGGAUGCCUUGGCACCCGAGCCGAAGAAGGA
rnacentral:rRNA from 1 species